rnacentral:rRNA from 1 species
CAAUAGCGUAUAUUAAAGUUGUUGCAGUUAAAAAGCUCGUAGUUGAACCUUGGGCCUGGCUGGCCGGUCUGCCUCACCGCAUGCACUGGUCCGGCCGGGCCUUUCCCUCUGGGGAUCCGCAUGCCCUUCACUGGGUGUGUCGGGGAACCAGGACUUUUACUGUGAAAAAAUUAGAGUGUUCAAAGCAGGCCUAUGCUCGAAUACAUUAGCAUGGAAUAAUAGAAUAGGACGUUGCGGUUCUAUUUUGUUGGUUUCUAGGACCGCCGUAAUGAUUAAUAGGGACAGUCGGGGGCGUCAGUAUUCAAUCGUCAGAGGUGAAAUUCUUGGAUCGAUUGAAGACUAACUACUGCGAAAGCAUUCGCCAAGGAUGUUUNCAUUA